rnacentral:tRNA from 1 species
UGGAACACCUCCUUUCUAGAGACAUAAAAAAGAAGUUAGACUAUUCUAAAAUCUGAGUUCUAAAUUCUGAAAUUGGAAACUUACUCUCGCUGUUAGUUCAAAAAAAAGUAAAGCUUAAAAUACAGAGUCUCGUAGCUCAGCUGGUUAGAGUACUACACUGAUAAUGUAGGGGUCGGCAGUUCGAGUCUGCCCGGGACUACUUUUUUAAAGAUAUUAGAUUUAAGAUAUUAGAUUUAAGAUUUAAGAAGGAUYGUAAAUUAAGUUGAAAAGGAAAUUCUAGAAGUUGGAAUUCACCAAAAGAAGUUAGAGUUUAUAAUUCAAAAAUCUAAAAUCUGAAUUCAAAAAUCUAAAAUUGAAAUUGGGGGAUUAGCUCAGCUGGCUAGAGCGCCUGCCUUGCACGCAGGAGGUCAUCGGUUCGACUCCGAUAUUCUCCACAAUUUUAGCCAUUAGCAAAAAGGCAUUGGCCAUUAGUUUAAUACUAUUGCCUAAUCACUUUUGCCUAUUGCCUAAAUAAAAGUUCAUUGACAUAUUGAGAUAAACAUACAAACAAGUAGAAAGAAUAUCUUUAGUGAUUAGUAAAAAAGCAAUAGGCACUAGUGGCUUAUGGCUAUUGACUAAUGGCUAAAAGAAUAAAUAAAACAAUAAGCAAAAUAAGGGCGUAUGGGGGAUGCC